GAUGAACGCUAGCUACAGGCUUAACACAUGCAAGUCGAGGGGCAGCAUGGUCUUAGCUUGCUAAGGCCGAUGGCGACCGGCGCACGGGUGAGUAACACGUAUCCAACCUGCCGUCUACUCUUGGACAGCCUUCUGAAAGGAAGAUUAAUACAAGAUGGCAUCAUGAGUCCGCAUGUUCACAUGAUUAAAGGUAUUCCGGUAGACGAUGGGGAUGCGUUCCAUUAGAUAGUAGGCGGGGUAACGGCCCACCUAGUCUUCGAUGGAUAGGGGUUCUGAGAGGAAGGUCCCCCACAUUGGAACUGAGACACGGUCCAAACUCCUACGGGAGGCAGCAGUGAGGAAUAUUGGUCAAUGGGCGCAGGCCUGAACCAGCCAAGUAGCGUGAAGGAUGACUGUCCUAUGGGUUGUAAACUUCUUUUAUAAAGGAAUAAAGUCGGGUAUGUAUACCCGUUUGCAUGUACUUUAUGAAUAAGGAUCGGCUAACUCCGUG
rnacentral:rRNA from 1 species